CUGCAGCCAAUUAAGCCGACUGAGUUCCUUUCCUCAUGGGGGCCCAGUGUGCAAUGGCUGCGAACAGCAGCUUCCCUGGUAGUGAUGCAGCCUGUUUGUUGUAUGGGUUGCUCUAAAGGACCUUGGAGACAGUC
ensembl:snoRNA SNORA70 Small nucleolar RNA SNORA70